rnacentral:lncRNA from 1 species
CUUGUAUUUCAUGAAGAGGAACAAUCUCACUUGCUCUGGCUGAGAAGUUGAAAUCUGCAUCUGCAAACUUCCACUGUCAGAGUUCUCUUUGAGUUAGAUUAUUUACUUAUUUAUAAACCUAUUUUAAAAGCUCAUCACUCUGCUUUCUUGGCUAUAGGCUGAAAUGUGCCAGGGUUACCAAGGUGCAAGUAGCAGAUUGAACGAGCACUGUGGCUGAGUAAUGUGAACAGGGGUGAUUCCUCAGGCAAGCGUAGUGAAACAGCUACUGUGUAUCUCUGCAACUUCCAAAGCUGGCUGGAGCUAGAUAUGAGAUCUAGAAGUACCAACCUGUGCGGAUGGAUAAGUGGCUAACAGAAAACAGCAGGCUGAAGAGAAGGUAAGCACGUGCUAGGAAAUAGUAUUUAAAUCCUUCUAAGGUCUGAUAAGUAAGUUGUACAGACUGAUGGUCCAGUUGAACCUGUAAAAACUGAUAAAACUUCAAAAUUGUCCUGAACUUGUUCAAAUCAAUCAGUACAUCGUAACAUCAACAAGGGGUUCUGUCACACAGAUCACAUCCACGAAGGUGGAGGCUGCUGUAUCCUGACAAAGACCCUGGUGUAAUACAUGCACCCUAAAGGGUCUCCCAGACCUACCUAUAAGCCGCUCCAGUGGUUGGCCUCCAGCUGUUGCUCCAUCCACAUAACAGCCAGUGACUAUAUGAGAGUGUGCAUGUGCCUGAACUCAAAUGAUUAUCACCUUCAAUUGAACUGAAGCAGACAGCCGGGCAGACUCACAUACAUCAUCGUAGGUACAGGGAAAAGGAAACAGUGACUAUGCACUAGUGGAUUUAACACAUUUUAUUACUGUAUGUUGUAAUAAAAAAAAAAAUGUUUCCUUCUCUGAAUCUGUG